CCAGGCUUUAAAAUUAGUCAAAUAUCGGCUCCAAGUUUCUGCUUCUUUUUCCAUAGAAAUGCGAGAGAAAUAUCUACUAUUCCAGUAGAAACUAUGCUUAUAUCCUGCUUCCUCCGUUGGUAACUCAAGAAUAGGCUCAAAUCCAUUUGUAUUUAAUGGUAAAAGUCAUGCCAUUUGAUUUUCCAACAUAUAUAACAAGCAUAACAACAUAUAUUCAUUAAACUUUCCUACCUAAAACAUUAAGAUUAACGAAGAAAUGCG
rnacentral:lncRNA from 1 species